UAUCGCGAGAUCAGGAAGGUGGCCGAGUGUGUCGCCGCGGCCAUCAGGCACUUCUCCUUCCUGCCCUUGUAUGAAGAAGGAUGUGUUUGCUUCCCCUUGUGCCAUGAUUGUAAAUUUCCUGAGGCCUCCUCAGCCCUGCAGAACUGGCUAGAGCAAUGUAUCUUAGGCUCACUUAAGGAAGCUGUAGAGAUGAGCCCAAGGAGGGAAACCAGAAGAGCCCCCCAGGCUCACCAGUUGUUUGUUGGCUCCCUACAAACAUGUCAUUCAAGUGGCUAAUCUUACAACAGCACAAAUUCAUCUAACCAGCAGAAAGAGAAGAGGAGGCUCCAAAGGCACUUGACUACUGAGCAUCACCCUGGACGUGUACAAGUCUGCGUCCUUAUUGUUUUCUUCAUUGGGCCGAACUUUCUGGUCCUCAUCCAACAGCUCUUCUAUCACGUGUUCGAAAGUGUCAGCCAAUGAUGUCAAGCCUCUUGAACCUGCCUUGGGCCCAUUCACGCUCUCCAGAGUCCCAUGGGUCCGCACACCUGGAGAUACUCUAUUAUAGCAAAGAAGAAAGAUAAUUUCAUUGAGCCAUCCUGUUUUACAGGAAAUUCUGCAAGUGGCAACGUGGGUCCAUUCCGUGUGUGUCACUAGAGCUGGCGCAAGCCCAUGGCCAUGGUGAGGCAGCGUUUCCACUGGAACUAAUCUGAUACCUGCACCAGCUCUUGCAACUGUGCAGUGUUCCCACUGCAAACUACGGAUGGGGUAAAAGACUGCUCACCUCCUAUUUCUCAUCUAAUCUCACACACUCUGUUUGAUGAGGCUAUGGAGAAACAGGUCUUCUCAUACACUAAAGGUGGGAGUACAAACAAUUCAAGCCCUGUGCAGGACAAUUAGGCAAUACCUAUCAAAAUUAUACAUGAUUUUUCCUGCUGACCCAGCAAUUCCACUUCUGGGAAUAAUUGACAGAUAUAGGUGCAUAUGUACAAAAUGAUGGAAAGCUCUCUGGUAUAUAUUAGUAAGUGAUAAAACAAGGUGUAAAAUAGUGUAUAUAUGGCUACUACCUUUUGUUUUAAAAAUGGGGGAAAAUGGUGGAGCUUGCGGUGAGCCGAGAUCGUGCCACUGCACUCCAGCCUGGGCGACAGAGCGAGACUCCGUCUCAAAAAAAAAACAGGGUGGGGUGGGGGGGAAAUAAUAGUACAUACUCAUAUUUACCUGUAUCUAUAUAAAACACACUAUCAAGGAUUCACAAGAAACUAAUACAAAUGAUCACCUUAUAGAUGGUAUGUAUUGGGGGAUACUGAGGUGAGCAGGGUAUAAGUGGGGCAAGACUUUUCAGUGUAAACUUCUUUUAAAUUUUAUUUUGAUUUUUGAAUAAUGUAAAUUAACUGUCAAAUAAUUAAAUUAAAAAUAACCAAUUUAUUAACAAAA
rnacentral:lncRNA from 10 species